rnacentral:rRNA from 1 species
UACGUAGGGCGCAAGCGUUAUCCGGAAUUAUUGGGCGUAAAGAGCUCGUAGGCGGUUUGUCGCGUCUGCCGUGAAAGUCCGGGGCUCAACUCCGGAUCUGCGGUGGGGACGGGCAGACUAGAGUGAUGUAGGGGAGACUGGAAUUCCUGGUGUAGCGGUGAAAUGCGCAGAUAUCAGGAGGAACACCGAUGGCGAAGGCAGGUCUCUGGGCAUUAACUGACGCUGAGGAGCGAAAGCAUGGGGAGCGAACAGG